UGGGGUUUGAUGUAGCGGAUAGCAUCUUCGUCUGUGACACGAAGUGGGGAGUUCGAAUCUCCGGCCCCAA
rnacentral:tRNA from 1 species